rnacentral:tRNA from 1 species
GGGGUCAUAGCUCAGCUGGGAGAGCGCUACGAUGGCAUCGUAGAGGUCAGCGGUUCGAUCCCGCUUGGCUCCACCA